AGACCCAAUGUAUGGAGAAUUUGUACUAACACAAGAGGACAUCAAAAUUCCCAAGGCUGGGAAGAUUUAUGCCUUUAAUGAAGGGAAUUAUCAAUUGUGGGAUGACAAGUUGAAAAAGUACAUUGAUGAUUUGAAGGAUCCAGGCCCGAGUGGGAAGCCAUAUUCUGCUAGAUAUAUUGGUAGUUUGGUGGGUGAUUUCCAUAGAACCUUACUUUAUGGUGGAAUUUAUGGUUACCCCAGAGAUAAGAAGAGCAAGAAUGGGAAACUGAGGCUCUUGUACGAGUGUGCACCGAUGAGUUUCAUAGUGGAACAAGCUGGAGGCAAAGGCUCAGAUGGCCAUCAAAGAAUUCUUGACAUACAGCCAACAGAGGUUAGUUUGUCUAAUCCAUUGCUUGUAUUAUUUUUGUUUUUUUUGGUCUAAUAGUGAGAUUUAACAGAGAGUUAAAUGGGAAUUGUGAUCUAGGUUUGAUUCGAGUUUUUUAUUUUCUUUUGCUUUUGUGUUGUUUGAAUAGAUCCAUCAACGUGUGCCUCUGUAUAUUGGAAGUGUGGAAGAAGUGGAGAAAGUGGAGAAGUAUUUAGCUUGACUGAUAAAUGUGGGAAGAUAAGGUAAUGGGAUUUUGGUUGGUUGGGGAUGAAGAAAAAAGGUAUAUCAGUUGUAUUCUAUUCUUGUAAAGCUUACUUCAAUGCUGAAUAAAAAAAUUGAGGUUUUGUGUAGUUUAUAUUUGCUUCCGUAUCAACUAUUGCCUAUUUCAUAUUUUGUAAAGUUUUUGUGUUUGAGAAUAGAAGGGGAUUAAAUCAUUGUUUCUUCGAUAAAACAGCAAAUUAAAGAAAAACAAAUUAAGUUCAUGAAAAUACAGUCAUUAUCAAUUGUAUACGACGGUUGUGGAAAUUAUUAUAAUAUUACCAAUCAAAAGAGGAACAUGCUUUUUAAUAUAACUAAUUUCAAUAUCUUACUUUUACGAUAAAGUAUGGUACUCACUAGCAAAAUCCUAAUUUUUUUUUUUUAUAUUAAUGCCAUAUGUAGGAAGUAUAGAAGUGAUCAUGAAAUAAGAAUAUUGUUCAUUGUCUUGCCAUGCUCGGAUGCUACUAGCAAAUUAUGUUAUACUAACGCUAACGAUGAAACAUCUUGAAUCUAUAAUAUGGUUAUAGUCAUGAACAUAAUCAAAACAAAAUCUGUUUUUAUGUUUUCUAUUUAUAUUUAAUGGUCAGUUUCACAACAACUAAACUUAACAAUUACAAAAUUGAAACCAACAUGAUAAUCAUUCAAUUGACAUAAUAUUUGUAUUAUAAUCUUAAAAGAUUCGCCUUUUCCAAAUGUAAACCUUAAACCCAAACUUUAAUUAUAUAACAAUUAAUCACUUUUUAAAAUUUAAUGACAAAAAAAACAUAAUUAAAUUGGUUAGAAAAAAUUGUAAGAGUUUCUUUAAAACAUAAUUCUUUAAAAAAAAUUAGUUUGAAAGAUAAAAAUACACAAGUACUUCAUCUAGGGUGCAUCUUACAAUCGUGAGAAUUGAGAACCCAUCUAUAUUUCGUACGUACUGCAGCCAUGGAAGCGCGAACUGUGUUGUUCAACCAAUCAGAAUCACACAAUUGUUUCACAAAGAGAUAAGCCACAACCACAAACACACAAACAGAAGAGAGGGAGUAAGGAGAGAGAGAGAGAGAGAGAGAGAGAGAAUGGUUCGUACGAUUUCAUCUUCGCCUCAACAAACUCUCUUCUCCACCUCUCUUUUCUCCAGCUCCGGUGGUUUCCCCUCUUCCAAUUUCUCCAUCCGCCGCCCUUACAGUUUCUCCGGCACCUCGGCAGCCAAGUUCCCGAUCAGAGCUGUGAGCUUGGGGACGACCGAACCGGAAAUCCGAUCGAAGAACCCGAUCCGAUCCGGAUUCGAUGUGGAAAACUUAACCACGUGGCUACUGAAGCAAGAACAAUCGGGACAAAUCGACGCGGAACUAACCAUCGUCCUCUCCAGUAUCUCUCUGGCCUGCAAACAGAUUGCUUCGUUGCUGCAAAGAUCCAGCAUUAUCAACCUCACCGGCGCCCAUGGUACCAUGAAUGUUCAAGGUGAAGAUCAGAAGAAACUCGACGUCAUUUCAAAUGAGGUGAUUAAUUAGAGUACGAAAUGAAAUUUAAAUUUAAAUUUUAUUAUUGAUUAAAAUAAUAAAAUUUAGUUAUUUAUAACUAUUUCAAAUUAUUUUAAUUUGAGAUUAAUAAUAAAUACGAACAGAAAGUGUUUGCUUACAAUUUCAAUCAUAUCUUACGACUAAAUAUUUAAAUUCUGAAACAAAAACUAUUUAAAGAAAUUAUCAAAAUUUUACAAUAUGUUCGUUUUGAAAAUGCGCAUUCUUAGUCAAAUUCAUCAACUACUUUUUUGAGAACGUUGUUUUUGUAAUUAUCAAAUGUUGAGUUGGUUUUUGAAAACAUGAAUAAAAAGAAGUAGAUAUCAAACAAGAAAAGCAGAGAUGAAAAAGGUGUUUCUAGAUUUAAUUUUAAAAAAGUAAAUAAGGCCUAAAUGGUUAUGGAAAAAUGUUUCAGUUGUUUUGCAGCUGCCUGAGAUCGAGUGGAAGAACAGGGAUCAUAGCUUCAGAGGAAGAAGAUGUGCCAGUAGCAGUGGAAGAAACAUACUCUGGAAACUAUGUGGUUGUGUUUGAUCCCAUUGAUGGCUCUGCUAAUAUUGACACUGCAUUGACCACUGGUUCCAUUUUUGGGAUUUAUGCACCUGAUAAGCAAUGUCUCUUUGACAUUGAUGAUGACUCUGUGGUAACUUUUCUUCUUCCCCAUAUCUCUUCUAUCAAUCAUCUCCCGUUUUUAAACCCUCUCUGCUUCUCAGGUUCAAUCUUAUUGUUAACGUACUAAUUAUCUCGAAAGUUUAAGUUGAUGGAUCAACAAACAUAGAACGUAUUGCUUAUAUAAGAGAUGGUUGUUUUAUGUAGCACAUAGAGAAUUAACAAAUUAUUAGUUGAAUAAAUAAUAGAAAUAUGAUUGUUGAUCUUCUACAUUACUACAGCUUAAUCAAGAAGAACAAAAAUGCAUCAUGAAUGUAUGUCAACCUGGAAACAAUCUGUUAGCAGCUGGUUACUGUCUCUAUUCAAGCUCAGUUGUCUUCACAAUCUCUAUUGGAAAAGGAGUUUUUGCCUUCACUUUGGACCCUACCUAUGGAGAAUUUGUGUUAACUCAUCCCAACAUCAAAAUCCCAACCUUGGGUAAGAUCUAUUCUUUCAAUGAAGGGAACUACGAUCUUUGGGACGACAAGUUGCAGAAGUACAUCGAUCAUCUCCGACAACCGACGUCCUCAGGCAAGUCUUACUCCGGACGCUACAUCGGUUGUUUGGUAGGGGAAAUUCAUAGAAUGUUGCUUGUUGGAGGGAUAUAUGGAAACCCUGCAAAUGUUAACAAUAAAAAUGGGAACCUUAGAUUGUUGUACGAGUGUGCGCCAAUGAGCUAUCUGGUCGAACAAGCGGGUGGGAAGGCAAUAGAUGGUCAGAGGAGAAUACUCGACAUCGAACCGACCAAG
rnacentral:lncRNA from 1 species